GAUGAAGAACGUAGCGAAAUGCGAUACGUAGUGUGAAUUGCAGAAUUCAGUGAAUCAUCGAAUAUUUGAACGCACAUUGCGCCUCUCGGUAUUCCGGGAGGCACGCCUGUUCGAGCGCCAUUACACCGUCCAAGCUGCGGCUUGAUGUUGGGCGAGGUCCUGUUGAGAGCUCGAGGAGAGCGAUUGCGGGACGCGCCUGGAACACGUGGGCGGCGGAGGCCAGACCGCGAGCGUAGCAAGACGAGAGUCACCCGCUCGGUACGGAUCUGGCAGCCGUCAGUCGAAUUUUUUCAUGUCGAAAUUCCAAAGAGUUUGGCCUCGGAUCAGGCGGGGAUACCCGCUGAACUUAAGCAUAUCAAUAAGCGGAGGA
rnacentral:misc_RNA from 1 species